rnacentral:rRNA from 1 species
UACAGAGGGGGCAAGCGUUGUUCGGAAUUACUGGGCGUAAAGGGCGCGUAGGCGGCCUGCUAAGUCGAACGUGAAAUCCCUGGGCUCAACCCAGGAACUGCGUCCGAUACUGGUUGGCUUGAAUCCGGGAGAGGGACGUGGAAUUCCAGGUGUAGCGGUGAAAUGCGUAGAUAUCUGGAGGAACACCGGUGGCGAAGGCGACGUCCUGGACCGGCAUUGACGCUGAGGCGCGAAGGCCAGGGGAGCAAACGGG